rnacentral:rRNA from 1 species
CCACGAACGCAACCCUUGCCAUUAGUUGUCUACGGAUAGGGCACUCUAAUGGGACUGCCGGUGACAAACCGGAGGAAGGUGGGGAUGACGUCAAGUCCUCAUGGCCCUUAUGGGUAGGGCUACACACGUCAUACAAUGGCCGGUACAGAGGGCAGCCAACCCGCGAGGGGGAGCCAAUCCCAGAAAACCGGUCGUAGUCCGGAUUGCAGUCUGCAACUCGACUGCAUGAAGUCGGAAUCGCUAGUAAUCGCGGAUCAGCAUGCCGCGGUGAAUACGUUCCCGGGUCUUGUACACACCGCCCGUCACACCAUGGGAGCGGGUUCCGCCAGAAGUAGGUAGCCUAACCGCAAGGAGGGCGCUUACCACGGCGGGGUUCGUGACUGGGGUGAAGUCGUAACAAGGUA